rnacentral:lncRNA from 1 species
UUAAAUUUGUAAGCUAGAAUCCCCAUCAGAUACAUUGCCUUAAAUGUGCAGAUCAUACAUAUUAAAAAAGACUCUCUUGUCUAUUCCCACCACAGGUAUCCACACAAUUCAUCCAUUCAUUCCUCAAGCAUGUGUUGAGCGUUUGGCGAUGCUUCAUGGUGUUGGACUCUGGGCAUUCACAGAUGAACACAUCUCACAAAAGAUCUGGAUUUUGUCUGGAAACUCAAGUGUAAGACCUAGCGCCACCUGCCAAGGACCUCUGCUUUGCCUCGGUAGGCCAAGAAUUACACACAAUGGAAAAGCAGCGCCGUGGAGCUGGAUGAAUCCUGAGCCCAACCUGUGCCUCCGGUCUUGGGGCGUGCGGGGGAAACAGCAGCCUCCAAUGGAGAGGGAAGCAAGAGAUGGUGCACCUUCAGGGGAAGGUAGGCUUCAAUGAAUGGUGGUGGAAGGAUACUGCAAAGAGGAAAACCUUGACGUGUUUAUUCUCUGAGGGAAUGGUGGAAAGGUUAAGAGCUUGGAGAGAGAGUCUGAGAGCGGGAGGACCCAGGAGGGAGUAUAAAGCUGCCGAAGAUGAGAGAAUAACCCGGGAUAGAUGUUUGGGUUGUAGAAGGUCGGGGGAAGGCAAGCACCAUAUGCCUUGGGGGCAGUGGCCGUGCAUUCUUGGGAUGAGAGGGCUUGGUAGAACCGACUAGCUUCCUUGACGUGAGUUAUUUGGUGCCACUAUGGCCGAUUGUGCCAGACAGUCCUGCCACCAUCCCCAGGGGAGCUGAGUCACUGUGUGGUGAAAGCCACAGUCUCCGGCAAGGCUGCUUUGUCCUGGGCAGGGAAGCUGCAAGGACUGGGGAAGCCGCCUCAAGGUGAACAGGAGGUGGUGGAGCCUGGUCUGCGGUGAGUGCUUUCACACAGGCGGUUUUCCUACUUCCCUGAGCUCCGGAUUGUUUCCCCCAGCAGGGAGCUGUGCCUGCCUGAAAAUGGUUCCAGGGCAUAAUUGUUAUCAUAAAGGAAAGCAGGACCAGAAGAACCUUGACAGCU